rnacentral:rRNA from 1 species
GUUUGAUCAUGGCUCAGAUUGAACGCUGGCGGCAGGCCUAACACAUGCAAGUCGAGCGGAUGAAGGGAGCUUGCUCCUGGAUUCAGCGGCGGACGGGUGAGUAAUGCCUAGGAAUCUGCCUGGUAGUGGGGGAUAACGUCCGGAAACGGGCGCUAAUACCGCAUACGUCCUGAGGGAGAAAGUGGGGGAUCUUCGGACCUCACGCUAUCAGAUGAGCCUAGGUCGGAUUAGCUAGUUGGUGGGGUAAAGGCCUACCAAGGCGACGAUCCGUAACUGGUCUGAGAGGAUGAUCAGUCACACUGGAACUGAGACACGGUCCAGACUCCUACGGGAGGCAGCAGUGGGGAAUAUUGGACAAUGGGCGAAAGCCUGAUCCAGCCAUGCCGCGUGUGUGAAGAAGGUCUUCGGAUUGUAAAGCACUUUAAGUUGGGAGGAAGGGCAGUAAGUUAAUACCUUGCUGUUUUGACGUUACCAACAGAAUAAGCACCGGCUAACUUCGUGCCAGCAGCCGCGGUAAUACGAAGGGUGGAAGCGUUAAUCGGAAUUACUGGGCGUAAAGCGCGCGUAGGUGGUUCAGCAAGUUGGAUGUGAAAUCCCCGGGCUCAACCUGGGAACUGCAUCCAAAACUACUGAGCUAGAGUACGGUAGAGGGUGGUGGAAUUUCCUGUGUAGCGGUGAAAUGCGUAGAUAUAGGAAGGAACACCAGUGGCGAAGGCGACCACCUGGACUGAUACUGACACUGAGGUGCGAAAGCCUGGGGAGCAAACAGGAUUAGAUACCCUGGUAGUCCACGCCGUAAACGAUGUCGACUAGCCGUUGGGAUCCUUGAGAUCUUAGUGGCGCAGCUAACGCGAUAAGUCGACCGCCUGGGGAGUACGGCCGCAAGGUUAAAACUCAAAUGAAUUGACGGGGGCCCGCACAAGCGGUGGAGCAUGUGGUUUAAUUCGAAGCAACGCGAAGAACCUUACCUGGCCUUGACAUGCUGAGAACUUUCCAGAGAUGGAUUGGUGCCUUCGGGAACUCAGACACAGGUGCUGCAUGGCUGUCGUCAGCUCGUGUCGUGAGAUGUUGGGUUAAGUCCCGUAACGAGCGCAACCCUUGUCCUUAGUUACCAGCACCUCGGGUGGGCACUCUAAGGAGACUGCCGGUGACAAACCGGAGGAAGGUGGGGAUGACGUCAAGUCAUCAUGGCCCUUACGGCCAGGGCUACACACGUGCUACAAUGGUCGGUACAAAGGGUUGCCAAGCCGCGAGGUGGAGCUAAUCCCAUAAAACCGAUCGUAGUCCGGAUCGCAGUCUGCAACUCGACUGCGUGAAGUCGGAAUCGCUAGUAAUCGUGAAUCAGAAUGUCACGGUGAAUACGUUCCCGGGCCUUGUACACAUCGCCCGUCACACCAUGGGAGUGGGUUGCUCCAGAAGUAGCUAGUCUAACCGCAAGGGGGACGGUUACCACGGAGUGAUUCAUGACUGGGGUGAAGUCGGAACAAGGUA